rnacentral:tRNA from 1 species
CGCGCACGGGCGGCUUCGGCUCGCGCGUGGCGUUCACGGCCACGGGCGCGCCCGCCGGCGUGACGCUGACGUUCGACUCCACGGCGCGCGUC